UGCUGUUUCCAGACAGCUAGACAAUUGUCAUCUGUCGAAACCUCGAAGUUCAUUGUUACCAAAUGACUGGAAAUCAGUCAUCGAUUCAGAUGACCUCAACACAUUUUGUGCAGGAGGUUAUACCCCACCUUCAAGCUAUGAUGGUAGCAGAUAUACGCAUUGUCUUCGGUUGAUCAGAAAUGUCUGUCAGCAUUGGGGUGAUAUACAGCCACGUCCAGCAUUGAAAGAUAUGGGUCAGGCCGCAUCUAUUGAAGAAUAUUUUCUUCAAUUAUGGCCCACACUACCCCUUGUGGUGCAUCAAAUAAUUAGGGAGCACCCUGCCUGGAAAACACGCCCUAAAUUGAAAGAUUUUUUCCCUGUGAUAAACCGCCGCACAAUGUCCGAUGCAGACAAAAGCUUGGUUAGUAUAUUUCAUUCUGGUUUUCAGUACCCCUUCACCACCACAACGGACACACCCCAGCCUGUUAUGGCAACAUUUUUGGUUCAC